rnacentral:rRNA from 1 species
UACGUAGGGCGCGAGCGUUGUCCGGAAUUAUUGGGCGUAAAGAGCUCGUAGGCGGCUUGUCACGUCGGGUGUGAAAGCCCUCGGCUCAACCGAGGAAGUGCGCCCGAAACUGCAGAGCUUGAGUACCGGAGAGGAUGGCGGAAUUCCCCAAGUAGAGGUGAAAUUCGUAGAUAUGGGGAGGAACACCGGUGGCGAAGGCGGCCAUCUGGACGGAUACUGACGCUGAGGAGCGAAAGCGUGGGGAGCAAACAGG